UCAACUACAAAUGAGCAUUCAGAAAUCUCUAGUCAUUGCCCUAAACCUUCGAUCUCCUUGGAUUCCAGCAGAGCCUGAGCAAACCCGAGGCUGCCCCAAGCAGAAACAGUCAUCUCAUGGAGACCAGAUAACUCCCUCAAUUGAGAGGCUUCUCUGGCCAAAGAGGGAUGGAGACAAUGACCAACUAGGCCCUAUUCCACAGCAGCCAUGCCAUAAAAUCGGGCCUUCCUCCUUUGUGAACAGCUGAUCCCCUGCUACGUGAUCAGUAUAAUGCUAGAUGCUCUGGGGGAAAAAUGAUGUAUAACGGACAAACCACAUAGAAAUGCUUCCCAAGCAACCCCAUCCUAAAGCUGUCAUGAAAGAAGACUGGAGCAAUAGAAAUUGAGAGCAAGAAAGAUCCUAGUGGACCGGGCUUGCUGGGGCGUCAUAGAAAGAAAUCAGAGUGAGUAUCUUACAGGAAGAGCG
rnacentral:lncRNA from 1 species